GGCCUCGUAGCUCAGGUGGUUAGAGCGUUGGUUGUACUAAAGCCUUCCCAUCGACGUCGUGGGUUGGAAUCCCGUCGAGUUCU
rfam:Schistocephalus solidus strain NST_G2 genome assembly, scaffold: SSLN_scaffold0006684